rnacentral:rRNA from 1 species
AGUGAAGCGGGAAGAGCUCAAGCUUAAAAUCUCCGUGCAAGUUUUGCGCGGCGAAUUGUAGUCUAUAGAGGCGUGGUCAGCGUGGGCGCUUGGGGCAAGUUCCUUGGAAGAGGACAGCAUGGAGGGUGAUACUCCCGUUCAUCCCUGAGUGGCUCGUGCGUACGACCCGUGUUCUUUGAGUCGCGUUGUUUGGGAAUGCAGCGCAAAGUAGGUGGUAAAUUCCAUCUAAAGCUAAAUAUUGGUGCGAGACCGAUAGCGAACAAGUACCGUGAGGGAAAGAUGAAAAGAACUUUGAAAAGAGAGUUAAAGAGUACCUGAAACUGCUGAAAGGGAACCGAAUCGUUUCCAGUGUCUAUAAUCCGUGGCAUAUUUCAUUGGCGAGUGUGCGCGUGCGUGUGCUGUGGCAGUGGCUUUUUUGGCUGCGCUCGGUGUGUGUGCUGUGUGUGCUUGCUGGUGCCCUGUGCUGCGGUGGGACGUCAAGGUCAGUUCGUAUGCUGCGGGAAAUGGCUGCCGAGGAGGUAGGGCUUACGCUCCGCGUUUGUCUGUUAUAUCUUGGUGGACGAGUCGUCGCGGUUGGGACUGAGGUGCCUACAACGUGCUUUUGAGUGGGUUUGUGUCUCCGUGUGCGCCGUGUGCGGAUAGCUUGCUAUGCGUGUGUGGUUGUGUGUGGAUUGAUGCGGGCUUUAACUUGUCGCCGUUCGGGACGUUGACGAAAUGGAGCGAUCCGACCCGUCUUGAACACGGACCAAGGAGUCUAACAUGUGUGCAAGUGUUAGGGUGUGGAAACCCCAACGCGAAAUGAAAGUGAAAGGGCAGCGCAAGUUGUCUGAGGUAGGAAACGUUGCGGCUUCGGUCUGCGGCGUGGCACUAUCGACCGAUCAUGAACCUUCGUGGUGAAAGAUUUGAGUUUGAGCACAUAUGUUGGUACCCGAAAGAUGGUGAACUAUGCCUGAGUAGGGUGAAG